rnacentral:rRNA from 1 species
UACGUAGGGGGCUAGCGUUGUCCGGAAUCACUGGGCGUAAAGCGCACGUAGGCGGAUCUUUAAGUCAAGGGUGAAAUCCUGGAGCUCAACUCCAGAACUGCCUCUGAUACUGGGGAUCUUGAGUCCGGAAGAGGUAAGUGGAACUGCGAGUGUAGAGGUGAAAUUCGUAGAUAUUCGCAAGAACACCAGUGGCGAAGGCGGCUUACUGGUCCGGUACUGACGCUGAGGUGCGAAGCGUGGGGAGCAAACAGG